AGAUAAUGGCAGAGAACCGCUGCCUAAAACAAAGCUUUUGGAAUCACUAAAAACCUCAUACGUUCCUCUUUGUCGUUGUUCUUCUUUUUUUGUCUGAGAAAUCUGUCUGAGAAAUCGAUGUUGGUAGAUUAAGCUGUGGGAGUAUCCAAAUCGUUCUGUUUGGAAAAAAGAAUUGUUUGUGUCGGUGGGAAGGAUUUCGCCACAUUUACUUGAAGGAGUCCCGGAUGUGCUUGCAAAGGAACUGUUUCUGGCAUCUGGUGAAGGUUCUGGCCUCGCUAAUGUUAACCCAUUGAUAAGAUCAGUGCAAGAGCUGAGAGGUACAGACAUGCGAAAUCUGCAGAGACGAGGUCGAAUUGACCGUUAAUGGAGAACCAUUCGUGGUGUGUAACGAAUGUGCCCUCCCUGUUUGUAGACCUUGCUAUAAGUACGAAAGAAGAGAAGGCAAUCAAGCUUGUCCUUAGUGCAAGACCCAUUACAAAAGGCUUAAAGGAAGUCCAAGGGUUGAGAAUGAUGAAGAGGAAGAUGACACUGAUGAUAUAGACAAUGAGUUUGAUUACAUGAACAAUGGUGGGAUUGGAUUUGAUCAGGUAUGUUUUUGAAUUCUAAAGUAUUUAAUUGUAUAUAUGGUAUACUGAGUUUUGUGUAAUUGUAUAUAUGGUAUAUUGAGUUAUGUAUAUAUGCUAUA